CCCAGCUGAAGAGGCCGGCAGGCAGCCAGGAUGGGACACAGCUCACAAGAUCCCCACCUCUGCUGGACCACCAGGCUCCUGGGAGUCAUUAGCCUUCUCUGAAGUGGCAGUCUGGGCAGGCUGGCUGUCCAACCCUGGGCGAGCCAGAAGUCUCAGCUGUGCUCAGCCACUCCAAGGGGACACUGUCCCUGCAGGGGGGACAGUUGGAGGAUGAGACUCCAGCAGCUGCUCAGGCCCUGGAGGGACCAGGAAAGCCCUGGCUGGACCUUGACACCUACAGGCACCAAGGAGAUUGAAGCCACAGGAUGUGUGACUCCUGCAUCCCAUCCCUGUACUCAGGAGGAGACCCCCGAGAGGGGCAGCUGGAGGGGAGGAAGGAAACCAGCCUGGAACUGGGAAUGUAUGGUUCUGACCCGGGGGUGCUGGGCCAGUAAUGCCCAUCAAGAUAA